CACAUUGGGUCUCUUUUCGUUUUAUUUUUGCUCCUUCUCUUUCUCUCUCUUUCCUCUCUCCCUCUCCUCUCUCUAAGCCUCCCCCACCCGACUGCCCCACCACCCGUCGACGCUUAACUCGCAGCCACCUCCUUUCCCGACCAGCAGCCACUGUUUUCGUCUAUUUGAAGGGAUUUACAAAGUGCUUAUGCGCCGCAACUCGGUCUAUGUCACCUUCGUUAUCGCUGGCGCUUUACUUGGUGAACGGGCAGUGGAUUAUGUGGUUCAUAAGCUCUGGGAGCACAAUAAUGUUGGGGUAUUUUAAUUGUUUCCUUUUCUUUCUGAGAAUUUUUUAAGAAAAAGGUUAUAUGUUUCAUCAAUCUUUUUUAUCAUUUUUUUCUUUCUUGUUUUACUUGGAUUCUUGAGAGUUUGUUAUGCUAUUGAUGUUUCAGAAUGCUGUUUAAAAUGGGUUAUAUAAUUGGGAUGAGUUUAUCAGGGCUCUAAACUAGAAUGGAGAUGUAAUUAGGAAUUUUGUUUUCCAACUGUAUGGAUAGGGUGUUCUUCAUAGUAUAGACUGUAUGGACAGUAUUUUUUUUUUUAAUUAAAUGAAAGAGAUUAUUGAUUCCAUCUAUCACCAGCUUGGUUUUAGCUAAUUAUGGAAAAGGUAUCUGUGUUAGAUAUGGACCGUACUUGAUUUGUUUUACCUUUCACUUCCAAAUUUAUUGGUCAAAGACAGUGAAUGUUGUCCUUGGCGUGCUAACUCAAAGACAAAUCGUAACUUUGACUUUGUUGCUUGCAAUGUAUAGGGGGUUUACAUGCUUUUAUUCCUUAGAUUUAAAUUUUCUUUUGUAUCUUGUUGUACCUGCUCAAGAUUAGAUGGUUGGCCUCUUUACUAAUUUUCAUUUUUUCUUCUUUUGUGUGGAGAAUAAUAGUAGAAAGUGAAGGUUAUGGGGGGAAGAUGGAUGAAGAUUUUGGAGUGGACAUGUGAAACUGUGAAUUUACCAUGUUAUUAGCAUAUCUUCUUUAGAAAGAAAACUUAAUCGAGUUUAUAUUUUUAUUUUCGAGUGGAUAAAUAAUGAAAAUACUGCAAGUUGCUGACACGAGGAAUUGCCAUGGUAUUUUCUCACCUUCUUUGAAAAGCCACGUUAUUUGAGUCCUUACAACAACUCUUUACAUUUUUGUACAUGUAAAUAUGUUUUAUUAACAAGUUUUUUACCAUAAAGUUUGUGUGCUUUCUGUGGUAUGUUUGAAAUACAUGAAAAUUAUCAGAUCAUCUUCAUAUGAUUUCAUUCAUGAAUUCUAUGAGUUAUUCUUUUAAUUAGUAAAAAGGAAAAGGGGGAGGGGUGGGGGGAGGGGGGUGGCUGCACUAACAAUUGACUGAUUACCAAAGAAAUGGCAAAACAUCUUCUUCUUUUUUCCCACUAUGGAGCAUUUUACUGGAAAGGUCACACCAGCUAUUGAAAAGUAUUCUCUAAGAAUAGACAUAAGAUGGUUGGGAUAGCUAUUAAGUGUUUAUUAGUUGAAACUCACAAGCUUUAGUUUCCUAUGGACAUAUAUAAGUAUAUAUUAACAUGGAAGAAGCUGGCACGGGUAUGGGGUGAGACUUUCUUACUGUAUAAGAAAAUAUAGCAAUAGUUUCAGAGGGUUAUCAUACCUAUAUAAGGCACUUUAAUAAUAGUUUCAGAGGGUUCAAAUUAUCUAAUGAAAAGAAUGAACAACAGAAGAUGCAUUGGCUAAAAAAAUCAUUUGUAUCUUGUUAAUUGUUUCUUAUACAAUUUGAGUUAUCAUAUUCAAAUUUGUAGGAUAAACUAUAGUUAGCUACAUAAAUCUAUUGAUGUUCACCUUAUCUACUCUUCCUUUUCCUAUUUCUAUCCUUUUUUCUAUAUGGAGCUUCUACAGACCAUAUUUUGCAGGCCUAUUAAAACUACCAAAAUAUGUGGUGUCAAGUGUUUCACAAUUUGUCGAAGAGACAAAUCCUAAAUACCAGAUUUUGUCCUUGUAGGACUGAACUGUUAUGAUGAGAUCGGGUCGCAACUAAAAAUAUGAAACAUCAAUUUAGCAUUGGUGAAGAGUAUUGCUUUUCUUGGUAUAGACAUUUUUGGAAGCAGACUCAAAUCAGGACGGAAAGAUUGACAAAUCUGAAUGGCACAAUUUUGUGGGCCGAAAUCCUUCAUUAUUAAAGAUAAUGACUCUUUCGUAUCUAAGGAGUAUGAAGCUAUGAAGCAUCAAGUUGCUCAGCUAACAAGAACACUUAAUUCCUUGGAGGCUAGGAUGUUGGGUAUGCAAGCCCAAAUUAAUGUUUAAAUGGAUAUGUAUAUUAUCUUUAAGGGUUUGAAUGUAGUUUUAGUUCGAAUUAGAAGUACUUUUAAGUUUAUAAUGUUUAAGUGUUUGAAUGAUGUUUAUGAUGUUUAAGUGUUUGAAUGUAGUUUUAAUUUUAAGUACUUUGAGGUUGAUUUGGUUGUUUAUAAGUAUUUGAAUGGACAAUGUUUAAGUGUUCAAGAGUUUGAACAUUGUUUA